GAAAGAGUGAAAAUAGCAUCACCCCGGAAUCGACGAAAGAAUUUGUAGAGCUGUCGUUGAUGGCGAGGGCGUUGCAUUUGAGCAGUAAAAGCGUGGAAUCUUGAGGAACCAGAAAGUGUAAAGGUAGUUUAUCUUGUUUUUGUGGGUAAAACGCGAGUUUCUGACAAGGGAGCAAAGCAGAAGGAAAGAGAGUUCGUAUGGGGGGAAAUAAACAAGAAGGAGAAGGUGAAAGACGAAAAGAUUUGGUGGGCGUCGACAUAGUAGCAAAGGAAGCAACACUGCAGCCAGUUGCUUAGCGAUAAGGUAGAUGACGAUAGUUAAGCU
rnacentral:misc_RNA from 1 species